GCAAACUUGGUCAUUUAGAGGAAGUAAAAGUCGUAACAAGGUAACCGUAGGUGAACCUGCGGUUGGAUCAUUAAUAAAUUGAUCAGGCCAGGCCUCGCGGUUUGGCCGGUGUUUCACUCUCGCUAACACGAGUAGGGAACCCGAACCCAUUUGUGAACUGUUUAUUGUCUCUGGCGGUGGGGGUUCUUGGGGGAAUUGCUUUAAGCCUUUCAAACAAGACCCUGUCAGCACACUGUAUGGUGAUGUCGUGGACAAGCCGCCAACCGUUUCUUCAACAACCCUUUUGCUGAUUUUCAUUGUCUGACCUAUUUAUUUUGUAUGAAUGUACAAAAAACAACUUUUGGCAACGGAUCUCUUGGCUCUCGCAUCGAUGAAGAACGCAGC
rnacentral:misc_RNA from 1 species